CCUGUUUACAUGCCCAACGUUUGACCGUCCGUCUUAUUUAAAAAAUUUAUAAAAAAAAUUAAAAAGAUAAGUCACGUAUAAAAUAUUAAUCAUGUUUUAUCUUCUAAUAAUAAUAAAAAUACGAAUUAUAAAAAAAUUUCAUAUAAAACGGACAGUUAAAAAUGGACACGGAAACUGAAGGUUUGCCUUUUU
rfam:Oryza glumipatula chromosome 1, whole genome shotgun sequence.